UGAGGAAUAUUGGUCAAUGGGCGCAGGCCUGAACCAGCCAAGUCGCGUGAGGGAGGACGGUCCUACGGAUUGUAAACCUCUUUUGUCGGGGAGUAACGUGCGGGACGCGUCCCGUAUUGAGAGUACCCGAAGAAAAAGCAUCGGCUAACUCCGUGCCAGCAGCCGCGGUAAUACGGAGGAUGCGAGCGUUAUCCGGAUUUAUUGGGUUUAAAGGGAGCGCAGGCUGCGAGGCAAGUCAGCGGUCAAAUGUCGGGGCUCAACCCCGGCCUGCCGUUGAAACUGUCCUGCUAGAGUUCGAGUGAGGUAUGCGGAAUGCGUUGUGUAGCGGUGAAAUGCAUAGAUAUGACGCAGAACUCCGAUUGCGAAGGCAGCAUACCAACUCGCGACUGACGCUGAGGCUCGAAAGCGUGGGUAUCGAACA
rnacentral:rRNA from 1 species